rnacentral:rRNA from 1 species
UACGGAGGAUGCAAGCGUUAUCCGGAUUUAUUGGGUUUAAAGGGUCCGUAGGCGGACUAAUAAGUCAGUGGUGAAAUCGAGCAGCUUAACUGUUCAACUGCCAUUGAAACUGUUGGUCUUGAGUGAAUUUGAAGUUGCCGGAAUAUGUAGUGUAGCGGUGAAAUGCAUAGAUAUUACAUAGAACACCAAUUGCGAAGGCAGGUAACUAAGAUUUAACUGACGCUGAUGGACGAAAGCGUGGGGAGCGAACAGGAUUAGAUACCCU